AAGUCGUAACAAGGUUUCCGUAGGUGAACCUGCGGAAGGAUCAUUAACACGUAUCCAAACGUUAAACCCCCCCCCGUGAACCUUCAUCCUGCUCUUGUAACCCGCGUAGUUCACAAUCUCUGAUAAAUCAUAGCCCGGAAAGUUGUAGUGAUUCAGAGACCUCUGGCUACGUGCGAACAUUGGUGAAGCUCAAUGUAAUACAUUGGGUAAAAAAACCGAACAACUGUUAACAAUGGAUAUCUUGGUUCUC
rnacentral:misc_RNA from 1 species